AGAGUUUGAUCCUGGCUCAGGACGAACGCUGGCAGCGUGCCUAACACAUGCAAGUCGAGCGGGAACCGCGGGAGGGGUAACCCCCCCGAGGGGAGAGCGGCGAACGGGUGAGUAACACGUGGGCAACCUGCCCCGGACACCGGGAUAACCCAGGGAAACCUGAGCUAAUACCGGAUACUCCGGCGCGAUCGCAUGGUCGCGCCGGGAAAGCUCCGACGGUCCGGGAUGGGCCCGCGGCCUAUCAGCUUGUUGGUGGGGUAAUGGCCCACCAAGGCGACGACGGGUAGCUGGUCUGAGAGGACGGCCAGCCACACUGGGACUGAGACACGGCCCAGACUCCUACGGGAGGCAGCAGUGGGGGAUCUUGCGCUAAUGCGCGAAAGCGUGACGCAGCGACGCCGCGUGGGGGAUGAAGGCCCUCGGGUUGUAAACCCCUUUCGGCAGGGACGAAGCGAGAGUGACGGUACCUGCAGAAGAAGUCCCGGCUAACUACGUGCCAGCAGCCGCGGUAACACGUAGGGGACGAGCGUUGUCCGGAUUCAUUGGGCGUAAAGCGCGCGUAGGCGGCUCGGAAAGUCGGUCGUGAAAUGCCGGGGCUCAACCCCGGGACUGCGUCCGAUACUUCCGAGCUGGAGGUAGGUAGGGGAGAUCGGAAUUCCUGGUGUAGCGGUGAAAUGCGCAGAUAUCAGGAGGAACACCGGUGGCGAAGGCGGAUCUCUGGGCCUUACCUGACGCUGAGGCGCGAAAGCUAGGGGAGCGAACAGGAUUAGAUACCCUGAUAGUCCUAGCCGUAAACGUUGGGUGCUAGGUGUGGGCGGACAUCGACCCCGUCCGUGCCGAAGCUAACGCAUUAAGCACCCCGCCUGGGGAGUACGGCCGCAAGGCUAAACUCAAAUGAAUUGACGG
rnacentral:rRNA from 1 species